rnacentral:rRNA from 1 species
GGUCACUGCUAUUGGGAUUCGACUAAGCCAUGCGAGUCGAGAGGGUUCGGCCCUCGGCUGACGGCUCAGUAACACGUGGAUAAUCUGCCUUUAGGUGGAGGAUACCCUCGGGAAACUGAGAAUAAUACUCCAUAGGUCUAGAAGGCUGGAAUGCAUCUAGACUGAAAGCUCCGGCGCCUAAGGAUGAGUCUGCGGACUAUCAGGCUGUAGUCAGGGUAAAGACCUGACUAGCCUAUGACGGAUACGGGUUGUGGGAGCAAUAACCCGGAGACGAUAUCUGAGACACGAUAUCGGGCCCUACGGGGCGCAGCAGGCGCGAAAACUUCACAAUGUGCGAAGGCACGAUGAGGGAAUCCCAAGUGCCAGCUCGUAAGAGUUGGCUGUUUCUCUGUCUAAAAAACAGAGAGAGUAAGAGCUGGGUAAGACGGGUGCCAGCCGCCGCGGUAAUACCUGCAGCUCAAGUGGUGGCCGCUAUUAUUGGGCCUAAAACGUCCGUAGCCGGUUUAGUAAAUGCCUGGGUAAAUCGUAUAGCUUAACUAUACGAAUUCCGGGUAGACUGCUAGACUUGAGACCGGGAGAAGCUAGAGGUACUCCUGGGGUAGAGGUGAAAUUCUGUAAUCCUAGGGGGACCACCAGUGGCGAAGGCGUCUAGCUAGAACGGGUCUGACGGUGAGGGACGAAGCCCUGGGGCGCAAACCGGAUUAGAUACCCGGGUAGUCCAGGGUGUAAACGCUGCUCGCUUGAUGUUAGUUGAGCUCCGAGCUCAAUUAGUGUCGGAGAGAAGUUGUUAAGCGAGCUGCCUGGGGAGUACGGUCGCAAGACUGAAACUUAAAGGAAUUGGCGGGGGAGCACAGCAACGGGUGGAGCGUGCGGUUU